rnacentral:lncRNA from 1 species
CUCCCCUAGAUGGCAAGCAGUCCUAUACAUGUUGAAUAUGUUAUAGUAUAUCCUAGAUACAAUAUAUGUGCGCAGAACUGAACAGUUCUCUUGUUGCACAGGAAGACACUGCUUCUGUCCAUCACUGAUCAAUUGGAACUGAGUUAGAGCUUCUCUUUGACAGCAACAUUUCUUCUGCAAAGGUCCAGGGUUGUAGUAUGGGGGGAAGGGUACUUAAUUGUUACUCUUCAGGAGAAAUUUUGGAGUGAACCUUUUAAUGGACUCCACACUGUUUCACCCAAAAGAUGCUUUACCUUAGGGUUUCACAGAGUGGAGGUCAGUGUUCCAAUAAGGAGCAACCUAAGCUAGUUUUCUUUCUUUUCCUGUUGCUAGGAAAAGGUUGGUGGAUGAACUGAAUAAGAGUCUGGACAGCGCAAAGGGGAGGAACAGAAGCUUCAGCCUGGCAAGGAGAGGCAGGGCACGCCCAGGCCUGGCAGCCCGCAGGACACUAAUUUGGCCUGACUGGUUUUGUUUGGCCCUCAUUACCUUUCUCAGCAGGCCCCCAGUAACAUUCCAGUCAAGAUCUGAAGAUAGAGCAAUUAUUCUAAGAAAUUAUGCCCUACAGCCCAAAGUAAACUAGCUUUCCAGUCUUCCUACACCUUUCUUCCUCCCAAAUACACAAAAAGAUGCAAUGACAUUGAUCUCCUGGCUUUAUCUGGCAAAAGACAUUCCUUUUCCUGACUGACCAUUUUUAACUCAGGUCAAUUUCAAUCUUCCCUCAUUUUCAUUGGCCGUCGAUGCCCGGAGCCUGGAAUUCUCUUUCUCCUCAUCAACACCUCCAGGCUUCCCUGGCUUCAGGUUCCAACAGCAACGUUGCCUUCCAAAACCUUUUCCUGAUCCCACUUUGAUACUAAUACUAAAUUUAACAAAAUAUUAAUCUCUCUGCUGAUUAUCUCCAAUUUACCCAAGAGGUAUCUUGUCUGCUCUUUGUCUUUCUUGUUAGACUAUUAACUAUGGGAACGCAGAUGCUGUCUUUUGGCUUUCUUGUAUCCUCAGUACUUAGCAGUGUCUGAUGCAGUGACAGUAGGUACUUAACAAAUGCUUAUUGACUUGUGGAAUUAUUGACAUGUGGAAUCAUGCUUAAUUUUAGCUUAACUCAAAGGCCCUUUCCCAUACUACAGUAUUAUUUUUUAAAUACUGGGACUACUCUCCGUCUUAGUUUGUCCCCAACUGAGUACUCACCAAAUGCAUGCUCUAUAGUAAGUACUUUGCUACUUGCAAAGAAUUGAACUUGUCGUCCGGAGACCAGCCUUCUCAUCCCAGACCCUACCCCUCUCUCUCCGCCCUGCCCUCUGCCCCGUUAAGGCCCUUUACCCUAUGCAAACUUCAAAGUGUUAUAUGCACAUUAUAGGUCGCUAAUGGCAGUGGCACAAUAGAUACCGUAUUGGGCUUGGAAUUAAGAAAAGUCUUCUUUAUGAGUGCAAAUCUAGCCUAAGACACUUACAAACUGUGUGAUCUAGGGCAAGCCGCUUAACCCUGUUUGCUUUAGUUCAUCAUCUGUAAAAUGAGCUGGAGAAGGAAAUGGCGAACCAUUCCUGUAACUUUGCCCCCCCCCAAAAAAAACCCCUAAAUGCUGUUAUAUAGAUACAUAUUAUUAUUAUCAUCAUCAUUUACAUGAAAAUGCUUUGAGAAUCUAAGGGAUAUAUAAAUAUUUUGUAUAUAAUAUAUGUUUUCCUGUUAUUCUUUACUCCCUACCUUCUAGAAGACUUAGUUGUAAAAGAGAAGAAUAUCAGUUAGUCAAUAAGCUUUUAUUAAAUGCCUACUAUGUGCCCAACACUAUGCUAAGUUCUGAAGAUAUAAAAAAAUUAGCAAAAUACAGUCUAUGCUCUCAAGGAGCUCAAUUUAAUAGGGAAGACAACUGCCAACAGCUGGGUACAAAUAAGAAAUAUACAGGACAAACUGCAGUUGAUUAAUAAAUAGAGGGAAGGCACUAGACCUUUGAUUUAAAUGGUAUAGUGAAAAUUCCCCAGUAAGAGAAUUCUGCCUACCAGUGCAGCUCCUCCCUUUCUCUGCAAUUUAAAGUCAGAGAGAAGUGCUUAGAGAACUGAGGGGUUAAAUAUCUGUCUGUAUUAGAGACAAGACUUAAAACCAGCUCUUCUUUUUAUCCACAUCACAGAAGAGUAGUAUUUCCUGCAUACCCACUGAGUACUUUGCAUUCUGAUAAUACUCCAUGGCUCUAGGAUCCCACUGAUAAGAGUCACUGAGUCAGCUGCAAACCGUUCAGUCCUCAUUUUGUGACUCUUGUCCAUAUUGUCUCCAAAAUUAUCUACUGAGGGUCCAGUGUUUGGGGAUCUUCUUCCAGAUGUGUUGACAUGUGGUAUGCCCAGUAGCUAUUACCACUUUUUCUUGACAUGACUGAUCCAUGUCCUUUGCUGGUUAUACAUCUGUUUAGUGACACCUUUCAUGUUGCUUAUGUAGUGCAAUUCCUUCCUGGUAACAUUCUUGGGCUUCUUCAUACCUACUAUUUAGACUGAUUUGAAUUUUCUUGACAAUGGAUGAUGCACUGCACAGAUGUAAAGCAGGGUACAAGCACAGGUUAGACACGGUCCAAUUAAGUAAGAGUUCCUUCUUCAAAACUCUCCUUUUUUUAAGACUCAUUUUGGUACAAAGGUGGCCCAGAAUUCUCAGAGAUCCUAAGAGGAUCAAAGCAUCAUCAGUAACAUUUGUACCAUACCCAAGUUAAUGAAUUUGCAAAGAUAAUAAAAUGCAAAGAUAAUAAAAAUAAAAAACACACAUCACUAAACAUACUUGGAUUUUUCUUGGUUUUCCAGUGACCCUUCAGGAGAGAUAUAUGUCUGCACAUAAAAAUCGAGAUUAUUUGAACUUCCUAGCAGUUGUUCAAGAUUCUGCAGAGCCAGCUGUUGACUAUUUUAGUAUGUUUAAAUCUGGGCUGUAGCCAAUGUCAUGAUAACUAUAGAGUUUCUUUGCCAAUUGUUUGGGAUGGAUAUUGUUCAAAACAUGGUCAGGUAACUCACUCAUUUUUCUUUAGGGAGCUUUCUCCUCCUUGAGGUGACUAUUGUGGUAAUUUAUAAUUACCCUGGCUGGCGAAUCUCUAGAUUGAAUGUAUCCUGCAGCAUUUCUGAUCAAAGCAAAUCGUUGUGGUUAAAGGAUUAUCAAACCGAUGUGGCCAUUAGCCAGUUUUCAAUUUAGAUGGGCUGUGUAAAUUAGAGGAGGUGCCUGUGGAAAUUGAGCAGACUGGGAUGUUGGGCAAGUCAGCGGGCCUCAGAGCAGGUGGAGGGCUGAGCCUGGAGUCAGGAAAACUCCAAAUCUGACCUCAAAUCCGAUUUGUGGGAACCUUUUAACCUUUGCCUCAGUUUCCUCAACUGUGAAAGGGGUAUAACACCAACUCCCAGGUUGUUAUGAGGACCAAAUGCCUGACGCACAGUAAACACCUAAUAAACAAACGCUCAUUUCCUGCCUUCCGUGGGCUUCAUUUUUUUUUUUUUUUUUUUUUGGUCACUUUCAGAAAUGGGAAAUGAACCCGGGAUGGAAACUCCUCAGAGGUCCCCAUCCCCCCUCAC